rnacentral:rRNA from 1 species
UGGUGGAGUGAUUUGUCUGCUUAAUUGCGAUAACGAACGAGACCUUAACCUGCUAAAUAGCCCAGCCCGCUUCUGCGGGUUGCCGGCUUCUUAGAGGGACUAUCGGAUUUCAAGACGAUGGAAGUUUGAGGCAAUAACA